AAAUUUAUUUUUUGAAUUUUAUUUUUUAGUUAAAAAGCUUAAAUUGUUUUGUAAGACGAGAAGACCCUAUAGAGUUUAAUAUUUUUAUUUACAUUAAGAUUUUAGAAUUUAAAUUUUUUUGUUUUGUAAAGUAUUUGGUUGGGGUGAUAGAAAAAUUUAUUGAACUUUUUUUCAUACAAAUAUAAAUUUAUAGGUUAUUGACUUAUAUAAAUAGUUAAAAGACUAAAUUACCUUAGGGAUAACAGCGUAAUUUUUCUAAAGAGUUCAUAUCGAAAGAAAAGAUUGCGACCUCGAUGUUGGAUUAAAGUUUAAAUUUGGUGCAGAAGCUGAAUAAUUUAGUCUGUUCGACUAUUAAAACUUUACAUGAUCUGAGUUUAAACCGGUGUGAGCCAGGUUGGUUUCUAUCUUCAAUUAGUUAAAAUAUUUUAGUACGAAAGGACCAAAUAUUUUUUAGAUUAAUUUUUUAUUUGAAUAAAAUU
rnacentral:rRNA from 1 species